ACUGAAACAGCUCAUUUGGGGGGGGAGCGUUAGGCUAUAAAUCGAAAAGUCCCUGGUUCGAUCCCGGGUUCCGGCA
rnacentral:tRNA from 1 species